rnacentral:rRNA from 1 species
UGGGGAAUAUUGCACAAUGGGGGAAACCCUGAUGCAGCGACGCCGCGUGAACGAAGAAGGUAUUCGUAUCGUAAAGUUCUGUCCUAUGGGAAGAUAAUGACAGUACCAUAGAAGAAAGCUCCGGCUAAAUACGUGCCAGCAGCCGCGGUAAUACGUAUGGAGCGAGCGUUGUCCGGAAUUAUUGGGCGUAAAGGGUACGCAGGCGGUUUAAUAAGUCGAAUGUUAAAGAUCGGGGCUCAACCCCGCAAAGCAUUGGAAACUGAUAAACUUGAGUAGUGGAGAGGAAAGUGGAAUUCCUAGUGUAGUGGUGAAAUACGUAGAUAUUAGGAGGAAUACCAGUAGCGAAGGCGACGUUCUGGACACAAACUGACGCUGAGGUACGAAAGCGUGGGGAGCAAACAGG